AAGUCGUAACAAGGUUUCCGUAGGUGAACCUGCGGAAGGAUCAUUACAGUUAGUUUAUGUUCUCUUGCCUGCGCUUAACUGCGCGGCGAGGAGCAGACAACCUUACACACUGUGUUUUUGUUUUUUGAAACAUUGCUUUGGCUUGGCUUUAUUGUCGGGCCAGAGACCAACCAAACUUCAAAUUAUUUUGAAUUGUUUUUUAAUUUGUUUGUCAAUUUUGUUUGAUUAAUUUCAAAAUAAUCUUCAAAACUUUCAACAACGGAUCUCUUGGUUCUC
rnacentral:misc_RNA from 1 species